rnacentral:rRNA from 1 species
CAAAAUGCGANACUUGGUGUGAAUUGCAGAAUCCCGUGAACCAUCGAGUUUUUGAACGCAAGUUGCGCCNGAAGCCAUUCGGCUGAGGGCACGUCUGCCUGGGCGUCACGC